UCAUCCCUCCGAGCCCCCUUGCCUACGGGAGACUAUGGCAAAGGGGCCGUGGCCGUGCCAGAGCGCGGCCGUCAGGGUUUUGCCGGAAACGGCGGAGCCUUCCGUAUGCUGAGAAGGAGAGAAAUC
rnacentral:ncRNA from 1 species